GCAAGAGACAUAACCUCAGUCCUUUGAGGCAUUUGGUUCUGGAAUCUAGCAACAAGUGUGCCUGUCUCCAUGGCCUCUUUCAGGCGUCUUCUGAGCUGCCUCCAGUCUUUGGAGGCCCAUCCAUCCUCUUGGACGUGCCACCAUAGCCAUUCCUCUGGGAGGGGGUCCCCCUUGGUGGGGGUAAGCGGUAUGCAGGGCUCCCUCCUCUCCAUGACCCACAGAACUAUCUCUUCUAUCGUCUGCUCCCUUCAGCUCAGAGGAUCCUUUUUUCUGGACUAAGACAAAUAUUUCUCCAUGUUUCUUCAAGACACUUCAUCUGUAUGCAGGAAGUAUCUCCCCUCGGUGGUAUAGAUUUUGGAAACAAAAGCAAGAAGGGGAGGAUUCAACCCAGUUUGGGAGAGACGGGAAGACUUCACAGAACAAGUGAUGCCUCAACUGCAUCCUGACGCCUGAACUAGAAUGUGCAUGAUGGGUGAGAGAGGUCGGAGGCUGAGGAGUUUUCUGGAGACUGCUCAUCUGAAGGAUCAAGGAACUGGUCAUGAGCCCAACCCCGUGUAAAGCCUCACCACUGUUACAAUCAACCUGAAACAAGAUAUGGUGUCCAGAUGGAAAAUGGACUUCUUUUGCGUAUUGGUCUGGACAAUGCUGUCUAUAACAAAACCUAAAAUUCCAUUAA